GGAACCGCAGGUUUUUGCGUAGAGAGGAAAGUCGUGUGGCGCGUGCUAGGUGUUUGAUGGAAUGGAUGAAUCAGAGAUCCUUGUUGCUCUUGCGAAAUCCAAGUCUAUUUAGUGUUGGUAAGCUAAUUUAUUAUUACAGUUGAUUGAAUUAUUAGAUGAAUGGAAUGGAUAUGUUUGGUGAAUAUAUAUGCAUCAUGAGUUAGUGGUAAUACCUCUUCGUGGAUAGUGACAUGAUUGUAUUCAUGAUUAUGGUUAAAAUAAGUGAUGACGGUAUUGAUGUUCGAAUCUGCACGUAUAGUUUUGAUUGUGCAACUAAUUGAGUGGAGUAAAUCAUGUGUUCUAUAGAAAUGUUAUAUACAAAAGUUGUAGCCAACUUCUUUAUCUUGUGUGUUUAAAAAUUUCAUGACCAUAGGUUUAGUAGUUUAGGAGUUAUGAUUUGUCCAAGUCCAGUUUCAGAAUCUGUCCAAAUUCUGUACAGGUUUCGAAAAUUGGAUUGUUUGGCUAAGCUAAAUUGAGAAUCAACCCUUAGUAAUUAUAGAAGAAUUUUAGUACUUUUCUUAAGAUUUCCAAAAAGUCUUGGAUCACUUUUUUGGUGGUCUAGAGACCAAGUUACAGCUGUUUGAACUAGAGUCUGAACUUUUUUUGGUGGUCUAGAGACCAAGCUACAACUGUUUGAACUAUAGAGUCUCAAUCUGUCCAAAUCUGGACAGAGAAGCCUGUUUGUAUUAACUGACUUUGAUAUGCAUUGAAUUGACCUGAUAUGUUUAUAAAUGAAUUGUAGACAAUUCUAUUAGCUUUCUAAAAAGUCUAGGAUCACUUGAUUUGGAUACCUGAGACUCCAAUUAUGGAUUUUUGAAGUGAGUAGUCGAAUUCUGUCUAAAUCUGGACAUAAUUUAUGUUUAGUUAUGUUUGACAUUUCUAAAGGUCGAAUCUUGUUGUGAUGGUAAUACAAAAGUUAUAGAGGACUUCAUAAGCUUUCCAGAAAGUCCUAGUUUAUCAUUUUAAGAUGAAUAUCUUGUGAGUUAUGAUUAAAAGAACUGACUGCUGUACUCAUGUCCAAAAUCAGCAAGUAUUAAGUUGAUUUCUGGAGUCAUUCUUGUUUGGCUAGGUAGGAUUAGUAAAUUCUUGAUUCUUGAGUGAUGAAGACUUAUUACAUAUAAUGGUUUCAUUUCAUUCUUGAGGUUUGCUCUAUACUUUAGUGCUUUUGGGAAGUAAAUGCUUUAGGGAAUGCAAUUGGUCUAGAGAUUACGUAGGCCUUCCGUGAGUAUGGCAAAAUUAAUAAUGUGAAAGGUUUAGUAGACAAGUAUACCUAGUAUUAUUAAGUUGUUUCGGUAGUGUGGUGUUUAUAAGUAUGAUAUGCUAUUCCCACUUGCACUUAACGUUUUGUCGUUCUAAGUUUUUGCUUCUAAGUGAUAGUCGAAUGGGAUUAUGUAAUGUGUUGAUCGUGUUUUUCUUGCUAGGAUAAUUAGUGAGAUACCUUAUUUAGUAGUGUAUAAUUCAUGUUAUUUGUAUAUGGUGGUUUAGAAUGUAGUAGAUUGCUUCUAUCCAUAUUUUGUUCUAGGUGUCUUUUAGUGAAGAAUCUAAGGUUAUUAGUUUUUAGAUGAAUGCUUAAUCUUAGGAGAAAAUAUAACCCGAGCAAAACCUGUUGCUAUAUGUUUGGUUAGGUCCAUUUGGCUUGAAGGUCAUAUUUGUGUAAAGUCAAAAGCAUCUAGUGCUACCGUAGUAAAGUUGAAAUGUCUUGCUUUAAGUGCUUAAUCUACUUCGGAUAGCAUUAUCUAGUCCGUACUAUUUAUACUCGUGCUCAUUCAUGUGCAUCUUGCAUAUCAUAUAGGUACAUUGAUUGAUCACGUGAUGUGGAGGACAAGAGCUGGGUUAAUCCCAAGAUGAUGCUGAUGAAUAAACCGGAAGAGUGGAUUAUCUGAUCAAGUACCAGGAUGAGAGAUGCUCACCAAGUGAUUGUCAUCUAACAACACUGACUUAGUGUUAUUCCAGGCAAGCCCCGGUGCAUUUGCCACCUCCUUCCGUUUUAAAAAGUUUUAUCACCUUGAAUGAUGCAUUAGGUGAUAGGAGUUGUGUGAUCAAACAGUUGAUGCAUUUCCUUCCUUGAUUAAACAUCCCUAAUACAUGUUUUAUGAAAAUUUAGUGAUGCUUAGCCCUACUUAUUACUUUAUGAUGGUUUUUAAAAAGAUGAUGUGUAACACGGGAUAUGGGAGUUUGUCAAAGAAAAGGACCUGUGAUGAUGAACCCAUUGUGGCCGCGAUGAUUUCAUCAUUCAAGUAGGGUACCUCUCUCAGGUAUCAAGUUUUGGGAAAUAAUAUGAAAUGUAGAUUCCAAAGUAGUUGCCGACCAGGUCAAAAAAAGAAUAUUCAGCAAAGGACCCCGCACUCAUGCAGUAUCUUAGCACAUGCUCUGUUUGCGUCCCUCCUCUCCUCCGCCAACUGACGCCUGAGAUCCUCCUUCUCGGCCUCCGCAGCCGCCAACCUCUUCGACAGUGUGCAGCUCUUGUUUUCCGCAGCUGACUUGUCCCGAACAGCAUCCGUAUGCUGCGCUCGGAGGCGCUCGAUCCGACCCUCGAGUCGUUGCCUCUCGGCAGCAAACUCCGAAGUCAGGGCGCCCGACGCAACAUGGUCGGCGAAGGCGGCCGCCUGCCACGAAAAAUCCAUCAGAUUCACAACCACAUAAAAACAACGAACUAACGAAAUCCAAGACGACUUACAUGCUUCAUCUGCUGCGACGCAUGCCUCAGCUGCUGGGACACAGAGCCCGCCACGUCUUUAGCGGCGACGACCGACGAAAUCUCAUCGCUGGCGCAGAAUUUGGACCAUGGGUCCUGCGAAGUACCCUUCGCUCCAACCACCGUCGUAGGCGAAGUGGCCGCCACCGGAGCCGGGACAACAGCCAGCUGCCCCGCAUCCGACCUUGCACCAUAACCUUGUUCUAGACCCAGUCGCCAAAAAAAACUCACCAACGAGGUAAUCCUCCAUGCAGAUGUCCGUGUCGAAGUCGGCACCACCCGCCUCCGCUUCGUCAGUGCGCACCGGCGACGACGGCCUUUGCUCCUUCGCGGGCUCAGCCGAGGGCGGCUUGCCCGCGCUGGAAGCAACAACCCUCGCACCCGCCGAAGACUUGCUGGGCCCGGGGACGGCCGGCUUCGCAGCCGGCGGUGGUUUGCUGCUGCCAAGGGCGAUGGACUUCGCGCCCCCCGAGCCCUCUUCACCUCGCGACUAGGGUCCUCGACCCUAGUGAACGCCCGGUGGUUCCGCGCCGCAUCUUGACGAUCCUUGUCCAUCACUGCCGAUACAACAGCAGCAAUAUUCCGUCCAUAAGGAAAAAUCUUCAUCUCACGGGCCAAAUGAGACGUAAAUAUGUCCUCGCUGGCCGCCCGGGGAAUCGGAACGUUCCUUGGCCAUCGACCCCCGGUAACCUUCAGCAUUCGUGCCAAAGACUCCCGGAGCUCGGGCGAAGACAUCCUUCCACCGAGGGCCGCACAAGUCCCCAUCAACUCCACAGCAAAACGAUCUGAAACCCCCAACCCUCCAACUGUAGUACCUAUUUUUCUCUUCUUAAUGGCUAGGGCAGCCUCCCGCGAAGGGCCUUCCUCAGCCAUGACCACUGGCUUUUUCCCGCGGCGGUCAACAGCCGCAGCAGCGUCGUCUCCAGGGUAACCACCGUAUGGCAAACGGUUUAACUCGAAGACCCGAUUCAAGCGAACAUUGGAUCCACGAAUAUUCCAACUCCGCAGACUCUCCGUCCUCGGCGCAUACCGCCCUACAAUCCUCACAGCCCCAUCCUCCACUUCACGAACGAAAGCGGCUGGGUCUCGGCCGCACAGAUCCAAAGCGAAGGCCGGACUUCGCACCAGCUGCUGGCCCAAAGUAGGCAACUAGCGAUGGCAUACUUCGCCCAGCACCCAGCCAUGUGCCAGGGGCCACACUCCAUAACCAAUGAAUUCCUCAACCAAAUCACGCCCGCUGCUCAUGCGGGCAGCGCACCGGAGGGCCACUUCGUCCUCAUCAUCCUCCGCCACCUCAAAUGGUGGGAUAGCCACAUAACAGUGGGAGCACAUUACGACCGCGAGGAGCCCUGGGAGGUCUUUGACUUCGCUUUCCCAAAACAUAAAACCAAUAAUCCCACCAGUUGCCCCACUUGUUGCGAGCACAGGGAACUAAUUCCACGACUUUCGUCGAAGUCUUUCCGGUCCUCGGUGUGAAGGUGCAUGAUCCAAACUGUGCAAUCUUACUUCCAAUCUUUCUCUUUUGCCAGUGCAGACAGUAAUUCUUGGUGAAGACCUCUACGGAAGGCUGACCGCCGUACGAAGUCACUGCCCAGACAUACUUCGCCAGGGCCACCACAGCGUUAGGUGUCAAAUGCUGGACCUGGACCUCAAACCUCUGCAGGACCUCCGCCAUGAAACGAUGCGCAGGUAGGCGAAGGCCGACGAUGAAGAACGCCUCAAACAUGACUAACACGCCCUCAGGCUCGAGAAUCUCUUCCGCCCCCGGGACACGCCCAACACCGUUCCCAAAAUACCCCAACUGCUACAUAUCCUUCACGCGAACCGAGGAAAUCCUCGAAACGCCGAACUCCACCGUGUGGCCCGGCUGUAACUCCACCGCCGCCAAAUCGCUCAAGGUAUCUUCGGACGACGAAUCGGUUGGCGGCACAUUUGCAGCAGAUGAGGAAGAAGACGACAUUGCUAUGUACAGUCAGCGGCGGCGCGCGGUUUGCUUGACGCGGGCCAGAUCUCUGAUGCAGAGAAACAAGGAGGGCAGGUGAGCGGGCGAGUGGUUUCAAAAGCUUAGGGUUUUCCGGUGCAUGCAAAGGUAAGAGUCAGCCCGAGCCGCCCUGCCCCUUUUUAUACACACGGCGCGGCGCUUCGGGAAACCCGUAGUCCAACAGUGCCACGUCCAUCAAAGGUCACCUCAAAAACCCCGUUGGACCACUUCGAGCGAGGGUAGCGUCUCCACCAUCUAGCGACGUCUUCGGCACCAGAUAACUCAGUCGAACUGGUCCCUCGGAGGGCAAAUAUUGGGGCGAAGGCGAAGACGCUACCCUUCGCACGAAGCCUUCGUUGCCUCGCUACACCAACGAAGGCGAGAUGAUCGGCGCGGUUGCCCCUCGUCCUCUCCAUUGCAAGACAAAGGCCAGACUCCGACGAAGUCUGCUAGUCCCGCGUCCUCAUCUCGCCCAGAGGCCCACGUGGAAUUCGGCCCACUGUAACGGUCCCCGCGUGGACAAGCAUGUUACGGGCCUCAUCUGUAAUAGCUUUUCUGUAAUGACGGUCUGUAACCUCCCUUUAUGGGAAUAUUCUGGGAAUAGUCCGGGUACCCAAGGGCAUAAAUGUCCUUGCCUUGGGACGUUGGACACUCGGGUACCUAUAAAUAUCCCCGUACAAUGCCCUUGAGAGGCUAGAUUAACAGAGCAAUUGGCAUCCCACGUUAAACUUUGCUUGCACUCUUUCCACUUCCCCGUUGGAUCCACUUUCCCAAGAUUCAACAAUUUUAUAUAUCAUCCAAUGAUGGUUUAGAUUUGCAGGUUCCAACAAUUUUCAUUUAAUUACAUAGAAAUUUCAAGAUUUUAUGGUAUUUUGAAUGUUUGACCACGUUUAAUAUUUUAUACCACAUUUAGAACAAUAUUAUAUUUUAUAUAUCAUCCAAUGAUGGUUUAGAUUUUCAUGAUCAUAUAUUCGUUUUAUAAAGCAUGGUUUUUAUUUUGCUAACGUUGAAUAUUUAAUUCAUGCAAGUUCUAUGUUCCAAUAUAUUAUUUUAGAUGUCGUAAAUAUUUUUGUUUUAUUUUGCAAGGUGCACAGAAUGCUCUACUAGUUGGUCAGAUAGGCAGAUUGAGUCGCGAGAUGGUAGUAAUCACCACUCUGUGCAAGAAAAGAUUGAGAUGGUCACCAUAAUGGGUAAUAUAGAUUACACACUUUGUUUUGAGAAACUCACUAAGCCCACAGUGGGCUCACCAUAAUAUGACCAUAAGAUGCUACAGUAUAACAUCAAUAAGGUCAAGUGGGAAAGAUACGUAAAGUGUUUGGUCAUAAUUAAGAGCCUCAUCAAGUACCCUAUUAAGAGUGUUAUUCCAGAGUGUGAGAUAGCCAAGAAGUACCUUAAGAAGAUAGCUUCUCAUUUCACUAGGUCCUCUAAGGCUUAUGCACGUUCCUUGAUGAUGGAGUUUCUCAAUGUUACGUACGAUGGAAGUGGUGUAAAGCUAUUUAUUCAGAACAUGAUUUGCAUUGUUACUAAGCUAAAUAGAUACCUCUCCGAGCCGAGCCUAAGAUGUUGGUGUCUAGUGUCCGACCGCACACCCGAGGGUACCCUCGUGGUGCUUUUUGGGUAGGACGGUGUUGCCGAUCGUAGCUCGAUGGUUCGUGCCAGAAGCACAAGAGAGAGAGAGAGAGAGAGAGAGAAAGAGAGAGAGACGGGCGAUUUUCUAUAGGUUCAGACCGCUUUUAGAGGCGUAAUACCCUACUUCAUGGGUGGCUUUGUAUGUGUGGCGUGUUUACAAGUGGUGUUUCCCGAAUGGAGAGGUGCUAAUGAGAUGAAAAUGAUGGGGCUCUCCCCAGGCCUUAUAUACGCGACCGUAGGGCACUCCCUACGCACACGCUGAUCACACUCUUCCAGCUUAUCUCCUAGCUAAUAGCAAACAAACUUUGCUUAUCUUGAGGAAAACUCGGUGGCUUCGUUUCGAGCUAUCCCCAGCGUUUGAGGGCGUCGGGCGCGGGAAAACGAACGGUCUCCUCGGGAUCAUGCCUAACCCCGCGAACGAUCCGGACGAGAGCCCAUCGCCUUCUUGGGUCGGUCCAUUUCAAUUGUUGUCUUUGCUCGGCCCACGAUGAGACGAUCUUGUGGGGCGACUGGUCUGUGUCCCCACGCAAGGGUUUUCGCCUUCUAGUGGACCCGGGGGAUAUCUGUCCCCCACAAGCCCCCAAUCUUUGAGUUGAUUUUGAAAUAAUCGACUCAAAGGUUCUUGGUCCUGCCUGUGGAUUUGUUGCAUGGCUUGAUUUUUUUUACUGUUGUUGGGUGCCAUUGGGUGUAGCCCCCGAGCUUUGAGUGGAUUUUAGAAGUAAUCCAUUCAAAGGUCUUCAUCUUCAUGCUUUUGAAACUAGCAUUUUGGCCUUAAGGUAUUGUGAAUCUGUUGGGUGCACCCAAAGAUACACCCAAUGGGUGUAGUCCCCGAGCUUUGAGUGGAUUUUAGAAAUAAUCCAUUCAAAUGUCUUCAUCUUCAUGCUUUUGAAAUUAGCAUUUUGGCCUCAAGGUAUUGUGAAUCUGUUGGGUGCACCGAAGGUGCACACCAAUGGGUGUAGCCCCCGAGCUUUGAGUGAAUUUUAGAAAUAAUCCAUUCAAAGGUCUUCAUCUCCAUGCUUUUGAAAUUAACAUUUUGGCCUCAAGGUAUUGUGAAUCUGUUGGGUGCACCGAAGGUGCACCUAGUGGGUGUAGCCCCCAAGCUUUGAGUGGAUUUUAGAAGUAAUCCAUUCAAAGGUCUUCAUCUUUACGCCUUUGAAAUCAUUUCCAGGAUAACCAGGCGAUGUCAUCUGUCCAUGCCUUGUUAGGUCUAGAAUCAAUUUGAUUGGUGACAAGUUGGACAUCUGGCUGGUUGAGUUAGAGGGCCUUCGGCUGGACACCACUCUGCCAUGUACUUUAAUGAUUCUGUUGAUUGGACUUGCGUUUCAGUAACCACAUUUGGGCUUCCUCCCGUUUCAGCUGAUCUCCUCUUUUUGUCGCGGUACAUUCAUUGCGUAUAUUUUGUGGGCAUCACCUCUUCAGAAAAUCUUGAAGGUUCUGGGCGAUACACCCAAUAGGUGUGCCCAAGGGGCGUCUGUCCCACGAAAGGUGUUUAUCACGUUGUACUGAAGUAGUAAUUUGAUGUGAUGGAGGGGUGUAAUCAUUUGCCUGAGCAGUUGACUUGGAUCCAAACGGUGUCGUGUUACGCGAAACGACGCCAGUUGCCUGACUCAUUUUUAGGCGGCUUGAAUUGCUUAUUGAAUUCUUGUGACUGUUCUGAGAGCACCUAGAGGGGGGGUGAAUAGGCGAUCCUGUAAAAUUCAACACUAAUAACCACAAAACUUGAUUAUGAAAGUUAGAACGGCUAAGUGCUUGAAGCGAGUUCUUGAACACAGAUAAUCAAAGGUAAAGAACACAAGAGACACACGAUUUUUAUCCCGUGGUUCGGCCAAGUAAUACUUGCCUACUUCCACGUUGUCGCGUCCCAAUGGACGAGGGUUGCACUCAACCCCUUUCAAGUGAUCCAAUGAUCAACUUGAAUACCCCGGUUUUUCCUUUCUUUGACUUUCUCCCGUUUGCGAGGAAUCUCCACAACUUGGAGCCUCUCGCCCUUACAAUGAUGAUCACAAAAGAAGCACGGAAGUAAGGGAGGGGAGAGCAACACACACAAGACUCAAUCAUAGCACAAUCACGCACACAAGUCACAACUUGAGCUCAAAACACAACCCACGGAGUUCACAACUCAAAUGGAGCUCAAGUCACUAUCUCAAAGAAUCAAAUGUGCGAAGUUGGAGUUUGGAGGCUUAGAAUGUUUCUUGAAUGCUUGGGUGACUCCUCCAUGCGCCUAGGGGUCUCUUUUAUAGCCCCAAGGCAGCUAGGAGUUGUUGGAGGCCAACAAGGAAGGCUAUCCUUGCCUUCUGUCGGGUGGCGCACCGGACAGUCCGGUGCACCACCGGACAACCACUGUUCAUGUCCGGUGCACGAUCUCCUUCCUAUUUUGGCGCAGACGACCAUUGCAGAUUCGUCGCAGUUGGCACACCGGACACUGUCCGGUGCACACUGGACAGUCCAGUGCCUCCUGCCGACCGUUGGCGAUGUCCACGCAUCACCCGCGGAUUGCGCGGUAGACCGUUGUGCUGGCGACCGUUGGCUCACCGGACAGUCCAGUGCACCACUGGACAGUCCGGUGAAUUAUAGUUGUACGCCGCCAAAUUCUCCCAAGAGCGGCAUGUUCACUGGAGUCCAGCCUGGCGCACCGGACAUUGUCCGGUGCACCACCGGACAGUCCGGUGUGCCAGACUGAGCAAAGAUUUGGCUGCACCGAGCCAAGUCUUUUGGUUCUUUUCUUUUCUCUGUUUCUAGCACUUAGACAAAAUAUGUUAGUACUCAAAACAAUGUACUAAGUCUAGAAAUGUACCUUGUUACAUGAUUUGCAUAUUUUGCUUGUUUGGCACAUAAUAUUUCACUCACUACGUGUUGGACACUUAAUCACCAAAACAUUAUAGAAAUGGCCCAAGGGCACAUUUCCCUUUCAUGUUCGGUGAGCCGGGUAGGAAGUGGACGGUCGCCCCUCAGCUUCUUUAAAUAGCCCGCUUGCCCUGGUUGUUGUCUUCACUCGCUCUUGAUCACUUGCUCUCUUAUUCUUCAUCACUUCUCCACCACUUUCUUCACGACCAUGGGCAGAGGCAAGAGGGGCAAGGGAUGGCCUCGCCGCGCUGACAGCAAGCGCAAGCGUCCUCCAAGUCCACCCUCGGAGGACUUUGGUGACUCAGAGUACUCGGAGGAAGUUUCUUUCGAGUAUGAUCGGUCGCUCGCACCAGUGUCCCUGGGACUCGGACGACUCCAUGGGGUUGUCCAUCGCGGCCCGAGCGUACUGGCGAUCCAUUGAGCACGUCGGGCUCGGUGGGUCGGACGAUUCGUAGGUGACCCCUCGGAGGAGGUGGAAGACUCCUCCGACUCCGAGGUGUGGAGCGGCGGCGAGGGCGAGGGCGGUGUGGAUGACGGGAGUAAAAAAUUAGUAUGAAACAUAGAUACAAAACGACAAAUCUUACUACGAUAUGCAAAUUCCAUAUGGCAAAAUAUCGCUAUAACACUAAUAUUAUAAAUAUUCCAAUGCAAAUAGAUUGAACUGAUGUCGAACAAAUACUAUCAAUAUCGCACAAAUUAUUUAUAAAGUGUCAAUAUAUAAUUUUUAAUGACAGUCAAAUAUGUCGACAAUCGUACAAUAAUCUAAUCUUUUUUAGAUAUAUUGAUAAGUCUGUGUUGUAUGUUUGCAGGGAUGGCAUAUCGACAUGAAUUGUCCUCAUAACUUAGCAGAUCGAUUACAAAGUUUCUUCGAAGAACUUUUGCAUCCUACACACAAAGACAUAAGAGAACAAAACGUCAGGUUUUUAUUAUAUAACCGAAAUGUAUGUUUGAACAUGACACGAACUUAGG
rnacentral:lncRNA from 1 species